GUGCUCACUUUGGCAGCACGUAUGCUAAAAUUGGAACGAUACAGAGAAGGUUAGCAUGGCCCCUGUGCAUGGAUACAGAGAAGGAGGGGAAUAGACACACAAAUUC